CGCACCUUGCGCUCCUUGGUAUUCCGAGGAGCAUGCCUGUUUGAGUGUCAUUAAAUUCUCAACCUUUUCAGCUUUUGCAAGUUGGAUUGGCUUGGAUGUGGAGGUUAUUGCGGGCUUCUCUAGAAGUCGGCUCCUCUUAAAUGCAUUAGCGGAACCUUUGUGGACCAGCUUUUGGUGUGAUAAUUAUCUACGCCAUGGUUGUGAAGCAGCUUUAACAUGGGGUUCAGCUUCUAACAGUCCAUUGACUUGGACAAAUUUAUGACAUUUUUGACCUCAAAUCAGGUAGGACUACCCGCUGAACUUAA
rnacentral:misc_RNA from 1 species